UACAGAGGGUGCGAGCGUUGUUCGGAAUUAUUGGGCGUAAAGCGCGUGUAGGCGGCCUUGCAAGUUGGGUGUGAAAGCCCUCGGCUUAACCGAGGAAGUGCGCCCAAAACUACAAGGCUUGAGUACCGGAGAGGGCGGCGGAAUUCCCGGUGUAGAGGUGAAAUUCGUAGAUAUGGGGAGGAACACCAGUGGCGAAGGCGGCCACCUGGAUGGUGACUGACGCUGAGACGCGAAAGCGUGGGGAGCAAACAGG
rnacentral:rRNA from 1 species